CCAGUCGGUUGGACGGCCGCCGGUCGCAAGACGGGAGGAAAGUCCGGGCUCCAUGGAGAAACGGUGCCGGUUAAUGGCCGGCGGGGGCGACCCCAGGGAAAGUGCCACAGAAAGCGAUACCGCCUGCCAUUUCGGUGACAGGUAAGGGUGAAAAGGUGCGGUAAGAGCGCACCGCGGGGCCGGCAACGGUCACGGCAGGGUAAACCCCACCGGGAGCAAGACCGAAUAGGGAUAACAUGAGGGCGCAAGCUUUCAGGGCCGCUUCAGCCCCGUUGUCCGGGUUGGUUGCUUGAGGCGGCUGGCAACAGCCGUCCUAGAGGAAUGGUCGUCACGCGGGGGAGUAAUUCCCCGCCAUACAGAACCCGGCUUACAGACCGACUGGCAUA
rnacentral:RNase_P_RNA from 1 species